rnacentral:rRNA from 1 species
ACUCCUACGGGAGGCAGCAGUGGGGAAUUUUGGACAAUGGGCGAAAGCCUGAUCCAGCAAUGCCGCGUGAGUGAAGAAGGCCUUCGGGUUGUAAAGCUCUUUUGUCAGGGAAGAAACGGUGAGAGCUAAUAUCUUUUGCUAAUGACGGUACCUGAAGAAUAAGCACCGGCUAACUACGUGCCAGCAGCCGCGGUAAUACGUAGGGUGCAAGCGUUAAUCGGAAUUACUGGGCGUAAAGCGUGCGCAGGCGGUUUUGUAAGUCUGAUGUGAAAUCCCCGGGCUCAACCUGGGAAUUGCAUUGGAGACUGCAAGGCUAGAAUCUGGCAGAGGGGGGUAGAAUUCCACGUGUAGCAGUGAAAUGCGUAGAUAUGUGGAGGAACACCGAUGGCGAAGGCAGCCCCCUGGGUCAAGAUUGACGCUCAUGCACGAAAGCGUGGGGAGCAAACAGGAUUAGAUACCCCUGUAGUCC